rnacentral:rRNA from 1 species
CCUACGGGGGGCAGCAGUGGGGAAUAUUGCACAAUGGGGGAAACCCUGAUGCAGCGACGCCGCGUGAGCGAUGAAGUAUUUCGGUAUGUAAAGCUCUAUCAGCAGGGAAGAAAAUGACGGUACCUGACUAAGAAGCCCCGGCCAACUACGUGCCAGCAGCCGCGGUAAUACGGAGGGGGCAAGCGUUAUCCGGAUUUACUGGGUGUAAAGGGAGCGUAGACGGCUUGUCAAGUCAGAGGUGAAAACCCCGGGCUCAACCUGGGGAGUGCCUUUGAAACUGAGUAGCUGGAGUGCAGGAGAGGUAGGCGGAAUUCCUAGUGUAGCGGUGAAAUGCGUAGAUAUUAGGAGGAACACCAGUGGCGAAGGCGGCUUACUGGACCAUAACUGACGUUGAGGCUCGAAAGCGUGGGGAGCAAACAGGAUUAGAUACCCUAGUAGUC